AGUGAACGCUGGCGGCAGGCCUAAUACAUGCAAGUCGAACGGCAGCACAGCAGAGCUUGCUCUGUGGGUGGCGAGUGGCGGACGGGUGAGGAAUACGUGGGAAUCUGCCCAGUCGUGGGGGAUAACGUAGGGAAACUUACGCUAAUACCGCAUGCGCCCUUUGGGGGAAAGCCGGGGAUCUUCGGACCUGGCGCGAUUGGAUGAGCCCACGUCGGAUCAGCUAGUUGGAGGGGUAAAGGCCCACCAAGGCGACGAUCCGUAGCUGGUCUGGGAGGAUGAUCAGACACACUGGAACUGAGAAACGGUCAAGACUGCUACGGGAGGCAGCAGGAGGGAAUAUUGGACAAUGGGCGCAAGCCUGAUCCAGCCAUGCCGCGUGAGUGAAGAAGGCCCUCGGGUUGUAAAGCUCUUUUGUUGGGGAAGAAAGGCCUUGGGUUAAUACCCUGAGGUUCUGACGGUACCCAAAGAAUAAGCACCGGCUAACUUCGUGCCAGCAGCCGCGGUAACAC
rnacentral:rRNA from 1 species